rnacentral:rRNA from 1 species
AUGGUUCAUAGUGGUGGCAGUGCACGGCAACUAGGAAAAUGUUCUGCUGCACACAAGAAUGUUGUCCAGAACCAAGAAACUUAUGAUCAUAAUUUCAGUGCUCAGCAAGGGGAAAUAAAUUCUGCUGCACACAUGAAUGCUGUUCAGAACAAAGAAACUUUGCUUGAGACUGUCAGUGCACGUCAGGGAGAAAAAACUUCUACUGCAAACAAACUGCAGCCAGGAACUAAAGUAUUCUUGAAGAGCCUAAAAAACCAUAACAGGGAUGUAGCUCUUGCUACAAUUGUAAGUUGUGAUCCUGAAUUUAACCUUGAUGGUGCGGAAAUUAGGAAUGAAUUCUGGGCGGUGCAUGUUGAUAUGGCACUUGUGAAAACUGAAUAUUUGGUGGGGAGUCGCAAAAACUGUAAUACUCUCGGUAAUGUAGAAGAAACAAAGAUUGCAUGGCCCUCAACCUUUAUUCAAAAGAUAAAUGGAUGA